UGUUUGUAUUUGCUCGUGUUGCGACAAAGGCGAAAAAGAUCUAGUUCGUCGGAUGCGAAAAUAUUAAAAGAGAUCAAAGAAAGAGAGAAGAAAAAUAUAGCACACAAUAUUUACGAGCAUGGUUCGGUCACCGGCUUACGUCCAUGAGCGAAGUCGGUGAAGAGAUCUUCAUUGUAAUUAAAGUGAUGUACAAAAUAUGCCUCUCUCACAAAAUUUUAAUCCCAAAAAAUACAUCCAUACUCUCUCUCAUCUGUUGCACUAAAUCAAUAGAAUAAAAGAUAUAUUUAUAAUAGUAGCAAAAUACUAAUAGGAUUAGGAAUACAAAUAUAGACUAAAAAUAUUUUAAUUAGAUUAGACAUAAUCUAAAUUUAACUUAAUGGGAUAAUUAAAAUAGAAUAGGGUUAGAAAAUCUCGUGGUUCUAAAAUUCGAGAUAUAUCUAACAAUCUCCAUCUUGGUUUGAAUUCUGUCUUCUUUACCAAAAUCCCAAUAGCUCAUGAAGUGCUACUUUACAUGUGAACAAGUUUACGGAUUUCUUGAACUCGAUCGUCUAGAAACUUAAUGAGCAAAUUCAUUCAUGGGAUUCUCUAAAGUGCCAAUCUUCUCACUCUCCAACUACGCCUUUUGUGACCUCUGUUGUAUCAGAAUGACAACUUGUCGUAGAGCGAAGCUGUUGGAGCGAUCAAAGUUCUCCAUCUCAAACUUCGUCGACGUCUUAAACACCCACAUGAACAAUUCGACUCUGAUACCGAUUUGUUAUGACAAAGGUGAAAAAAAUCUAGUUCGUCGGAUGUGAAAAUACCAAAAUAGAUCCGAGAAAUAGAGAAGAAAAAUAUAACAACAAUAUUUACGUGGUUCGGCCAUCAGCCUAUGUCCACAGACGAAGACGAAGCAGACAUCUUUAUUGUAGUCAAAAUGGUGUACAAAAUAUGUCUCUUUCACAAAACCCUAACCCCAAAAAUACACUCAUAUUCUCUUUCAUCUGCCGCACACCAAAACAAUGAAAUAAAGAGUUAUUUAUAAUAAUGGCUAAAUGCUAAUAGGAUUAGGAAUACAAAUUCACUAAGACUGGAAACAUCUCAAUUAGAUUAGAUAUAAUCUAAAUUUAACUUAAUGGGAUAAUUAAAAUAGAAUAAGGUUAAAAAAUCUUACGGUUCUAAAAUUCGAGACAUAUCUAACAGCCCUUAGGG
rnacentral:lncRNA from 1 species